CAGGGGGAAUUUUCGUCAAUGGGGGGCAACCCUGAACGAGCAAUGCCGCGUGAGUGAGGAAGGUCUUCGGAUCGUAAAGCUCUGUUGCAGGAGAAAAACGGCAGAUAUAGGAAAUGAUAUCUGAGUGAUGGUAACCUGCCAGAAAGUCACGGCUAACUACGUGCCAGCAGCCGCGGUAAUACGUAGGUGGCGAGCGUUAUCCGGAAUGAUUGGGCGUAAAGGGUGCGUAGGUGGCCUUAUAAGCCUGGAGUGAAAGGCGGCAGCUCAACUGCCGUAUGCUCUGGAAACUGUGAGGCUGGAGUGCAGGAGAGGGCGAUGGAACUCCAUGUGUAGCGGUAAAAUGCGUAGAUAUAUGGAAGAACACCAGUGGCGAAGGCGGUCGCCUGG
rnacentral:rRNA from 1 species